rnacentral:lncRNA from 1 species
AUUUAUCCUGGGAACAGCGGGGGCAGAUAGGGUAAUAUGCCCCAGUCUGUUUAUCUUCUGUGUGGCUGAGGCCAUUGCAAAACAGCAGAAGAGUUGCUCCAGAUCAAACAUGAGGGUCGGCUGCUGCAAGUGCUGGGGCAGGAACGGCUGUGGCACAUUCCAGAGCGGGACUGGUUGUGUACCAACUGAACCCAAGCCCUGGUUCGGUUCUUCACAAGAAAGAACUGUGUAGUAUCUGAGAGCAAAUGGCCACUCAGCAACUUCGUACCCUUCUUCAGAGGUUGAAGGCAACUGACCAAAUUUUACCUGGUUGUUCUGGCUACGUGAACCUACAUUUCUGGCCUUGCCUAUGAAGAGCUCUCAGUUGCAAGGAAAGCAUGCAGCACUUCAAUCUGUCUCUCCAUAAAUCUGCACAGGCAAACAAGCUUAUCCAGCUUGGCUACAGAUCCGGUAUACUCCUAUUGCUACAGAGGAGGGGAAGGGGUGCCUUCUUUAAAGUUGUCUCUGCUGCUAAGAUGGGACGGAACUGGUGCCCAUGCCAUUCCACUGUACUGCAUACUCAU